AGCUCGCCCUGGUCGCCGUUGCACUCGUGGUGGUCGCCGCCCGCCCCUCCGACCCCUACGGACCCCCGCCCCCCGUUUACGCUGAUGUCCCAGCCGAGUACCAGUUCAGUUACGGCGUGAAGGACGACUACUCUAGGAACGACUACGGGCACUCGGAGGACCGCAGUGGCUACAACACCCAGGGACAAUACCAGGUCCUGUUACCCGACGGCCGCGUGCAGACGGUGGAGUACUCAGUCACAAAGGACGGAGGUUUCGUCGCUAAUGUCGUGGCCAAGGGAGUCAGUGCCUAUAACUAGUACCAGCAUUUAGAACCUGCAUUUAUUAACAUCAGUCAUUUGUUAUUUAUUGUUGUUUCCCUGGUUGGAAAUGUGAAUUACUGUCAAAAAAUUAAAUGUGUACUUUGGUA